rnacentral:rRNA from 1 species
UACGGAGGGUGCAAGCGUUAUCCGGAUUUACUGGGUUUAAAGGGUGUGUAGGCGGGCUGUUAAGUCAGUGGUGAAAUCUCCGAGCUCAACUCGGAAACUGCCGUUGAUACUAUCAGUCUUGAAUUCUGUUGAGGUGGGCGGAAUAUAUCAUGUAGCGGUGAAAUGCUUAGAGAUGAUAUAGAACACCGAUUGCGAAGGCAGCUCACUAAACAGUUAUUGACGCUGAGGCACGAAAGCGUGGGGAUCAAACAGG